rnacentral:rRNA from 1 species
UGGCAAUAGCCAAUGCAUUAAUAUGAUGCAAUAUCAAAGUAGAAUAAAAUUCUGGGUAGACUAUGAUAAUGACAUUAUCUAUCUAUGAGUCUUGACCAAACUACGUGCCAGCWGUCGCGGUAAAACGUUAAAGACAAGUGUUAUUCAUGUUUAAUCGGUUUAAAGAGUCCCAAGACUGUUAAUAAAGCCCGUAAAGGGGACACAUUAACUAGAGUUAUAUGAAAAGGGGCUCUAAGGUACUGUCAUGUUUAGAGAUAAAAUUCCAAUACAGAUAAUGGCACCAUCAAAUGCGAACGCAUCCCCUUAUGUAAUAACUGACGUUGUCGGACGAAGGCUUAGAGAAGAAAAAUGGAUUAGAUACCCUCGUAUUCUAAGCAGAAAAUGAUGAAUGUCAUAGGUUGAAUAGAAUAAUACCGUAUUAUUAUUCUUUUUGUCUAUAAAUGAAAGUGUAAGCAUUCCACCUCAAGAGUAAUUUGGCAACAUUGGAACUGAAAUCAUUAGGCCGUUUUUGAAACCAGUAGUGAAGUAUGUUGUUUAAUUAGAUAACCCGCACAAAACCUUACCACUAUUUGAAUAAAUAUUUUUAGAUAUAUUUACAAUUGUUGCACGGUUGUCUUCAGUUAAUGUCGUGAGACAGGGUUACUCCUAACAAUCAACGCAAACCCUUACUUUAUUUUUAUAUAAAGUUGUUCACCUAUAAUGGGAGAUGCUAACAGGGACUAUGACAAAUCAUCAUGACUAAAAUAUAGUGGGCUAUA